UGAAAACAUCUCUCUUCUUUCUUUUCCCCUUCCACAUUUUUCUUCCACUCUCUUCUCCCAUACACUCGUCUCGCCCUCAACUUCACUAAGCCACUCCUUAACCUCCUUCAUGAACUAACCUCUACCUUUCUUAACCCUUCAACAACUAACAAACACUCACCAACGUAACCAUGUAAAUCACUCUCUCCCAACAUUAAACUCACGACAAAC
rnacentral:lncRNA from 1 species